rnacentral:rRNA from 1 species
CCUACGGGAGGCAGCAGUAGGGAAUAUUGCUCAAUGGGGGAAACCCUGAAGCAGCAACGCCGCGUGGAGGAUGAAGGUAUUCGGAUUGUAAACUCCUUUUGUUAGAGAAGAUAAUGACGGUAUCUAACGAAUAAGCACCGUCUAACUCCGUGCCAGCAGCCGCGGUAAUACGGAGGGUGCAAGCGUUACGCGGAAUCACUGGGCGUAAAGAGCGCGUAGGCGGGAUAGCAAGUCAGAUGGGAAAUCCUAGGGCUUAACCAUAGAACUGCAGUUGAAACUGUUAGUCUAGAGUAGGGGAGAGGUAGGUGGAAUUCUUGGUGUAGGGGUAAAAUGCGUAGAGAUCAAGAGGAAUACUGAUUGCGAAGGCGACAUGCUAGAUCAAAACUGACGCUGAUGCGCGAAAGCGUGGGGAGCGAACAGGAUUAGAUACCCUUGUAGUC